UGUCAGGAGGCCUGAUUUUAACAGCCCCGUU
rnacentral:piRNA from 1 species